GACGUAGGGGACGAGCGUUGUCCGGAUUCAUUGGGCGUAAAGCGCGCGUAGGCGGUUACGCAAGUCGGUUGUGAAAAUCCGGGGCUCAACCCCGGACCUGCAUCCGAUACUGCGUGACUAGAGGUAGGUAGGGGAGAUCGGAAUUCCUGGUGUAGCGGUGAAAUGCGCAGAUAUCAGGAAGAACACCCGUGGCGAAAGCGGCUCUCUGGAACGGUACUGACGCUGAGACGCGAAAGCGUGGGGAGCGAACAGG
rnacentral:rRNA from 1 species